rnacentral:lncRNA from 1 species
ACAGUUCUUAACGGCCGCGCGUCCAGAGUCUGUUCCUUCUGAUGUUCGGAUGUGUUCGGAGUUUCUUCCUUCUGGUGGGUUCGUGGUCUCGCUGGCUCGGGAGUGAAGCUGCAGACGUUUGCGGAACUCGUGAGUUAUGACAAAAAGAUAUUAUGACUCCCAUGCAGCGGAUGAAGACAUUGAUGCCCAUGAAAGACCAAAAGUAACAAAACAACAACAGAAAACCAGGGGGGGCGCGGUGGCUCACGCCUGUAAUCCCGGCACUUUGGGAGGCCAAGGUAAUUCAGUUCCAACCCCUUCAGUGACAGCAGAGAGACCCAGGCCACCUUCCUUGAGGAUUUCGGAGCUGCAGCCCACAGCCAGGGCCAGAGUGGACUCAGCUCUCCAACCCACGCCCAUGAAUCUCUGCGACUAAAGAUUUCCCCAGACGCUCCCAGGUUCCUCCUGAUCUGCAGCAUUGUCGUCCCUGCCACUGACCAGGAAGCCCUCUGUGCUCCCAUAGCCCCUUCAGAAACCUGUGACUUCCUGAGUCCUAAGUCUUCAGCAGAAACAGCAGCUGCCCCACGCCUUGAGCGGCAGCAGGACCCUUUCUGCCCUGAUCU